rnacentral:rRNA from 1 species
AUUGAACGCUGGCGGCAGGCUUAACACAUGCAAGUCGAGCGGGGGAAGGUAGCUUGCUACCGGACCUAGCGGCGGACGGGUGAGUAAUGCUUAGGAAUCUGCCUAUUAGUGGGGGACAACAUCUCGAAAGGGAUGCUAAUACCGCAUACGUCCUACGGGAGAAAGCAGGGGAUCUUCGGACCUUGCGCUAAUAGAUGAGCCUAAGUCGGAUUAGCGAGUUGGUGGGGUAAAGGCCUACCAAGGCGACGAUCUGUAGCGGGUCUGAGAGGAUGAUCCGCCACACUGGGACUGAGACACGGCCCAGACUCCUGCGGGAGGCAGCAGUGGGGAAUAUUGGACAAUGGGGGGAACCCUGAUCCAGCCAUGCCGCGUGUGUGAAGAAGGCCUUAUGGUUGUAAAGCACUUUAAGCGAGGAGGAGGCUACUUUAGUUAAUACCUAGAGAUAGUGGACGUUACUCGCAGAAUAAGCACCGGCUAACUCUGUGCCAGCCGCCGCGGUAAAAC